CUUGAAAAUAAUUAGAUCUUAUCUGAGAGCAAUAGCUGAUUAUAUUGGCAGUGACGAGUUAUCUUAUGUAAGAGACACUUCCAUUCAAAUUAUACAUGAUAAUGCAGCUAAGUACCGAGUUGAACCGACAGAAAACAUUAUUGAUCAGAUCGAUGAUCAUUAACUUUACCCGAGAACGAUCGGCAGACUCGUCUACCAACGCGAGAUAUGCCAUGGGUAAAAGUCUAAUUUAUCAGUCGUAUCAGAAACUCUGAGUCCAAAACUCUUUGGACCAGAUAGUAUUAGCUAGAAUGUCCAAUUCGAAUUUAUGACCAGUAAAAAUUGUAGAAGUUCGCAAUUAUUUAUUGUAUGUUGGAUUUAUUUUACUAUAAGAAGAAAAAUUCGGAGUCUCGGAUCAAAAAAAGAUAUUAAAAAUUCACUGAAGAAGAUAUGAAUAACACUAAUACCUUCAAUUGAAACCCUGAUUUAACGCAAGAAUACUUUAUAAUUCUAGUCGCAUUAACUGUCCUCCAAAUAAACGAAAAAAAAUUUGUCAAUGGAAUAUAUCAAAUCUUUUAAAUAUUAAAGAAUAAAAUUGUAAUUUAGAUAUGAAUUUAUAAUUUUUUUAAUUUAAAUGAUAUUUUAUAAUAAAAAUGAUCAGUUCUAAAGCGUUAACAUCAAA